rnacentral:lncRNA from 1 species
GCUACUUUUUUCUUUCUUUCCUUGUUUUGUACGGACCUUCAUGUGCCCAUCUAUUUUUUUAUUUUUGCAUAGCCUUGUGUCUCUUUGAUCAAGCAUAUAGAAAGAUAUAAUGUGGCUUUUAAAACAUGGAGCAUCUAUAUAUAGUGGAUGUGGAAAGCAUGGUUUUUGCGUACUUCCAGUGUAGAAGUACCAUGAAGAUGUGGUGUGUGUGUAUGAUGUUGAGCUU